rnacentral:rRNA from 1 species
AAUAUUGGACAAUGGGGGCAACCCUGAUCCAGCCAUGCCGCGUGUGUGAAGAAGGUCUUCGGAUUGUAAAGCACUUUAAGUUGGGAGGAAGGGUUGUAGGUUAAUACCCUGCACUUUUUACGUUACCUACAGAAUAAGCACCGGCUCACAUCGUUCCUGCAGCCGAGGUAAUACGAAGUGUUCAAGCGUUAAUCGGGAUUAUUGGGCGUAAAGCGCGCGUAGGUGGUUCGUUAAGUUGGAAGUGAAAGCCCCGGGAUUAACCUGGGAAUUGCUUUCAAAACUGACGAGCUAGAGUACGGUAGAGGGUAGUGGAAUUUCCUGUGUAGCGGUGAAAUGCGUAGAUAUAGGAAGGAACAUCAGUGGCGAAGGCGACUACCUGGACCGAUACUGACACUGAGGUGCGAAAGCGUGGGGAGCAAACA